UCCAAGUAAAUCAGAGUCGCUUCUUCUA
rnacentral:piRNA from 1 species